CGGGAGGCAGCAGUGAGGAAUAUUGGUCAAUGGAGGCAACUCUGAACCAGCCAAGUCGCGUGAAGGAUGACUGCCCUACGGGUUGUAAACUUCUUUUUUAAGGGAAUAAAGUGAGCCACGUGUGGCUUUUUGCAUGUACCUUACGAAUAAGGAUCGGCUAACUCCGUGCCAGCAGCCGCGGUAAUACGGAGGAUCCGAGCGUUAUCCGGAUUUAUUGGGUUUAAAGGGUGCGCAGGCGGAAUAUUAAGUCGGCGGUGAAAGUUUGCAGCUUAACUGUAAAAUUGCCGUUGAUACUGGUAUUCUUGAGUGUAUAUGAAGUAGGCGGAAUUUGUAGUGUAGCGGUGAAAUGCAUAGAUAUUACAAGGAACUCCGAUUGCGAAGGCAGCUUACUAAAUUACAACUGACGCUUAGGCACGAAGGCGUGGGUAUCAAACAGGAUUAGAUACCCUGGUAGUCCACGCAGUAAACUAUGAUUACUCGCUGUUUGCGAUACACAGUAAGCGGCUUAGCGAAAAGCGUUAAGUAUCCACCUGGA
rnacentral:rRNA from 1 species